rnacentral:lncRNA from 10 species
CAGACAAGCAAAGUGGAUCAGCAAAGGCUGCAGUCACCAGCAUCUUUUCCAACCUUAAUGAACUGUAUCCUCAAAAGAACACUAUCAGACUGGUAAGACAAGCAUUAUUGUCCCACUUCACAGAUGAAGAGCUUGGGGGCCCUGUGGAUGUGUAGGAGAGUCGGCCUUCCUUUUUAUAGGCCUUUUGCUGAGCUCAGAGGACAGAGCAGAAGACAAAGCCGAAUGCAGCCCUAAGCAGACACUAUCCCAGCCCAAGGAGCUAUGCAGACAGCUCCUGCCUAGAGGAGAAACAAUUCUCUCCUUCAGCCAGGCAUGUGGCACAGAGGUGAACAGGAAAUGCUUAGGGAGACAGUUCACAGAUAUAUAUGUACUUCACAGGGCACAAUUUAAUCCAUAAAUCAAUCAUGGAUCACCGCUAAAGAAAACAAAAUAUGCUGCCACUAAUUUGCCACCACCCUGUGAGCAUGAUUGGAUGAUGUUUAUUUUGAUUAGGAGAUUGCUCCAUUUAUAAAUCUUCAAUACAUCCUGUCCCCCUAAAACGGCAUCUGGGUCUUUUGAGGGUUAAAAAAAAAAAAAAGUGAAAUUGGAUGAGGGAUGAGAGCUGGACUUCUGUGUGUCCCGGGGUCCCUGGAUCCACAGCCUGGUGCCUAGCAUCAGUUAAGCCCACGCUGGGGUCGCAUCACAUCCCGCAAAGCCACGUGCUCUGUGAGGCCAACAGGAGCCCCGCCGGGUGGACCAGCUGGAAUCUCAGAGAGCGCCGACUCUGAAACUACCCGGCUCUGCAGAAGCACGCUGGGCCCAGGGGCUUCUAGACUGACAGCUCCAUUUAUCAACUACCUAUUGGUUUUAAAAAUUGGAGUGUCUUUUCCGCGUUGACUGAUUUUGGCUCUAAGAGAUGUCGCUGGUCAUUUCAGAGUGACUGAACCUCCCCUCUAACAGAUCCCGGGAAUUGUUUUCAGGAAAGGUAAAAGGCAGCCUUUUCUGUCACAACACAACGCUGAGCCGGCAGCCUGGCUCUGUCAGGAUCUGGGGCUCCCGCG